ensembl:snoRNA
AGAGCAGGCUGCAAUUACAGUACUUCAGUUUGUGGAAGUACUGCCAUUAUCCUCCUGAGAGAAAAAGCCAUGUUGGCCGGCUCUGGUUUUGCCUCUUUAGGUGAGAUCAUGACCGGUUAGCAUGUACAAUU